CGUAAAGCACACUUAACACACACACUUAUCGGCACAUACUUUCUGGGUGCUGCGCUUGCAGUGGAAAGAUGGGAUAGGUGGAGGUUAAAC
rnacentral:sRNA from 1 species